rnacentral:rRNA from 1 species
UACGUAGGGUGCAAGCGUUAAUCGGAAUUACUGGGCGUAAAGCGUGCGCAGGCGGCUAUGCAAGACAGAUGUGAAAUCCCCGGGCUCAACCUGGGAACUGCAUUUGUGACUGCAUGGCUAGAGUACGGCAGAGGGGGAUGGAAUUCCGCGUGUAGCAGUGAAAUGCGUAGAUAUGCGGAGGAACACCGAUGGCGAAGGCGGCAUCCUGGACCGGUAUUGACGCUGAGGCGCGAAAGCCAGGGGAGCAAACGGG